UAGACAUAAGAAACUUCUCCUAGUUUCAUCAUAUUUUAUCUCUGGGAAAGUCUGACAGGCACAUCCCAUUUUGUUUCCUUCUACAAGAGCAAGAAUGAUUAAAGUUUUCAUUAUGCUGUCCUCAAUUAGCAGCCUACAUGUUGUCUCACUUGGUGUAUAUACCGUAGAUUGCUGGAAGAUACAAGUCGUCACACUGUCAUCACAAUUAUAAACAUUUCCGAUCAUAUGAUAUCCAUGCCUUAAUUUAUUCAGCUUUUUUUUGAGGGGUACAUAGGUUAUUCAGUUCAUUUAAUCCCACUACGCACAUAGAUCUUAUUCUGUGCAUCUAAAUUUUCUUUCUUUAGCCUUGCAGUUGCAUUAACCUCAGUUUUCUAGAUGACAAAUAUAUAGUUUGAUAGGUUUCAGCCCAUAUUCAUCCAUCAUAAAGACUGGUAGCGCAAUUUUCAACAAUAAGAGAGCUGCUCUAAGGUGGAAUGCAGAAGAGGAACAAGAUGCACAGCAGGCAAUGAUUUCAAUUUAAUCAACUUGGUUUGCAUAUUCUGGCGAUCAGAUAUCCAGAGUGAGCCUCCUAAGACUUCUAUUUUGCUCAACAAGGAGCUAAAGUAUUGCAUACCUACAUAGUUCUGCAAUUAAGUGAAAAGCAGUCAAAAGAAAUUCCUGAUAUCCACGUCACAAUGUGCCAAAGAAGAAAAAAAGGUGGAGGUGUUUGUGCAGAACUCUACCAACUUGUGCCAAGCCACACAGGCCAAAACAAUAUGCAGCCAUUGCAGCACACCUGUGCUAGUGCUGGCACUAAUCCAACAUGGCACAAUAGGCAUUAACUGGCAGUUGAAUCCUCAUACAAGUUAUGAGAUAUGAAAGGGCAUCAUAACAAAAAAAUUUUAGCUAGUAUCGAGAUAAUGACUUCAUUGCAUUGCAAGUCAUUUACCUAAUUUCUUGAGUGGUUUGGAAUAAACAUUAUUUGUUUAACUUCAUUAUACAACAAUCAGUUAUGCUCUUAAAUGUAUUAUCUCUGAUUGAAGCAAAAGAAACAUUUAAUCAAGAACUAGAAUCAAAUCGGCAAUUAUGAUACGGGCAAAGUCUAUUGAACCGGGCCGAACCGCCUGAUUCAGCCAGUA
rnacentral:lncRNA from 1 species